UCAAACGUUGAAGGGCUUCUGACGGAUGCCUUGGCGUAGAGAGGCGAUGAAGGACGUGGCAAGCUGCGAUAAGAGUCGGGGAGGCGCUAGCACCCUUUGAUCCGGCUAUUUCCGAAUGGGGAAACCCACCUUUACGGUCUUCCAACUCUGUUUCUUCGGAAGCAGCGAUUGGCGGAUCGUUGAAAGGUAUGAUGAGCUGAAUACAUAGGCUCAUUAAGCGAACCCGGGGAACUGAAACAUCUCAGUACCCGGAGGAAAGGACAUCAACCGAGACUCCCGUAGUAGUGGCGAGCGAACCGGGACCAGGCCAGUGCUCUUGUGAAAUAAAGACGAACGAUCUGGAAAGGUCGGCCAUAGUGGGUGAAAGCCCCGUAGUCAUCAAACAGCAAGAGACUCGAGUAGGGCGGGACACGUGAAAUCCUGUCUGAACAUGGGGGGACCACCCUCCAAGCCUAAGUACUCCUCUACGACCGAUAGUGAACAAGUACCGUGAGGGAAAGGUGAAAAGCACCCCGACAAGGGGAGUGAAACAGAUCCUGAAAUCGGAAGCCUACAAGCAGUCGGAGCCGCCAAGCGCGGUGACGGCGUACCUUUUGUAUAAUGGGUCAGCGACUUCAUGUGUCGAGCAAGCUUAAGCCGUUAGGUGUAGGCGCAGCGAAAGCGAGUCUGAAUAGGGCGCUAAGUUCGACGUAUGACGACCCGAAACCAGGUGAUCUAUCCAUGAGCAGGAUGAAGGUUGGGUAACACCAACUGGAGGUCCGAACCGGUGUCUGUUGAAAAAGACUCGGAUGACUUGUGGAUAGGGGUGAAAGGCCAAUCAAACCUGGACAUAGCUGGUUCUCCGCGAAAUCUAUUUAGGUAGAGCGUCCGACGAAUUCCUUGGGGGGUAGAGCACUGGAUGGUUGCGGGCUGCGCGAGCGGUACCAAUACUAACCAAACUCCGAAUACCCAAGAGAACUAUCGGGCAGACACACGGCGGGUGCUAACGUCCGUCGUGAAAAGGGAAACAACCCUAACCAUCAUCUAAGGCCCCCAAGUAACGGCUAAGUGGGAAACGAUGUGGGAUUGCUUUGACAAUCAGGAGGUUGGCUUAGAAGCAGCCAUCCUUUAAAGAAAGCGUAACAGCUCACUGAUCAAGCGAUCCUGCGCGGAAAAUGUAACGGGGCUCAAGCCGUUCGCCGAAGAUAUGGGUUUGCAGUUUACUGCAAGCGGUAGCGGAGCGUUCCGUAGGCCGGUGAAGGUCAGGCGUGAGCCUGGCUGGAGGUAUCGGAAGUGAGAAUGCUGACAUGAGUAACGAUAGGAGUGUGAGAGACACUCCCGCCGAAAGACCAAGGGUUCCUGCGUAAAGCUAAUCUGCGCAGGGUUAGUCGGCCCCUAAGGCGAGGCUGAAAAGCGUAGUCGAUGGGAAGCAGGUAAAUAUUCCUGCACCAGCUGGAAGUGACGGAUGGCAUAACUUGUACGGGCUUAUUGGAUUGUCCGUGCAGGGGCGUUGUCCCUGGAAAUAACUCCAGCAGAGACCGUACCCGAAACCGACACAGGUGGUCAGGUAGAGCAUACCAAGGCGUUUGAGAGAACUGUGCUGAAGGAACUCGGCAAAUUGCACGCGUAACUUCGGAAUAAGCGUGACUCACCCUGCGCAAGCAGGACUGAGUGGCACAAGCCAGGGGGUAGCGACUGUUUAGCAAAAACACAGGGCUCUGCGAAGCAGCAAUGCGACGUAUAGGGUCUGACGCCUGCCCGGUGCCUGAAGGUUAAAGGGAGAUGUGAAAGCGUCGAACUGAAGCCCAGGUAAACGGCGGCCGUAACUAUAACGGUCCUAAGGUAGCGAAAUUCCUUGUCGGGUAAGUUCCGACCUGCACGAAUGGCGUAACGACUUCCCCACUGUCUCCAGCACAGGCUCAGUGAAAUUGAAUUCCCCGUGAAGAUGCGGGGUUCCCGCGGUCAGACGGAAAGACCCUAUGAACCUUUACUAUAGCUUCGCCUUGGCGUUAGCGACCGUAUGUGUAGGAUAGGUGGGAGACUAUGAAGCCGGGGCGCCAGCCUCGGUGGAGUCGUCCUUGAAAUANNNNNNNNNNNNNNNNNNNNNNNNNNNNNNGAAAUAGACCUGUCUGUGAAGAUGCGGACUUCCUGCACCUGGACAGAAAGACCCUAUGAAGCUUCACUGCAUCUUGGGAUUGAAUCUGGUCUUUACUUGCGCAGAAUAGGUGGGAGGCAUUGAAGAAAAUCUUGUGGGAUUUUUGGAGCCAAUCGUGAGAUACCACUCUUUUAAAGCUCGGAUUCUCACUCUCUACCGUAAUCCGGGGAGAGGACACUCCCAGGUGGGCAGUUUGACUGGGGCGGUCGCCUCCUAAAAGGUAACGGAGGCGCACAAAGGUUUCCUCAGAUCGGAUAGAAAUCGAUCGAAGAGUGUAAAGGCAAAAGGAAGCUUGACUGCGAGACGUACAAGUCAAGCAGAGACGAAAGUCGGUCUUAGUGAUCCGACGAUCCUGAGUGGAAAGGUCGUCGCUCAACGGAUAAAAGUUACUCUAGGGAUAACAGGCUGAUCUCCCCCAAGAGUCCACAUCGACGGGGAGGUUUGGCACCUCGAUGUCGGCUCAUCGCAUCCUGGGGCGGUAGUACGUCCCAAGGGUUGGGCUGUUCGCCCAUGAAAGCGGUACGUGAGCUGGGUUCAGAACGUCGUGAGACAGUUCGGUCCAUAUCCGGUGUAGGCGUUAGAGUAUUGAGAGGAUCCUUCUCUAGUACGAGAGGACCGAGAAGGACAUACCGCUAGUGUACCAGUUAUCGUGCCAACGGUAAACGCUGGGUAGCUAUGUAUGGAAUGGAUAACCGCUGAAAGCAUCUAAGUGGGAAGCCAACCUCAAGAUGAGUACUCUCAUCGUCCUUUCUUUUUGAAAGGCGAGUAAGGUCACGGCAAGAUCAGCCGUUUGAUAGGCAUGAAGUGUAAGUGCAGUAAUGUAUUCAGCUGACGUGUCCUAACAGACCGAGGACUUGAAUCG
rnacentral:rRNA from 1 species